rnacentral:rRNA from 18 species
ACAGGUCUGUGAUGCCCUUAGAUGUUCUGGGCCGCACGCGCGCUACACUGACAGAGCCAACGAGUUCUUUUCCUUGUUCGAAAGAAUUGGGUAAUCUUGUUAAACUCUGUCGUGCUGGGGAUAAAGCAUUGCAAUUAUUGCUUUUCAACGAGGAAUGCCUAGUAAGCGCGUGUCAUCAGCAUGCGUUGAUUACGUCCCUGACCUUUGUACACACCGCCCGUCGCUACUACCGAUUGAAUGGCUCAGUGAGGCCUUCGGACUGGCUCGAGGAGGUUGGCAACGACCACCUCAAGCCGGAAAGUUCGUCAAACUCGGUCAUUUAGAGGAAGUAAAAGUCGUAACAAGGUCUCCGUAGGUGAACCUGCGGAGGGAUCAUUA